rnacentral:piRNA from 1 species
UAACCUGUGGAGGGAUUAACUUGUUCCACU